GGUGACAUGGCCGAGCGGUCUAAGGCGCCAGAAUCAGGAUCUGGUCCGAAAGGGCGGGAGUUCGAAUCUCCCUGUCAUCA